CGGAUAGAUUAUAAUCUCAUUGUCCAGAAACAGUAAUCACCUCAGAUCUUCUCACAGUUUGCUUUCUGAAUCUCCAUGUGAUUCACUGCAUUCACCAGUCACCACCCUUUUAUCAAUAACUUCAUAUUCCUUUCUGAGCUUAUUUUAGGCGAAUAAGCAAAUUUUCUUCACUCUGUGGCUGGUCAAAACCCAAUGUUUUUUCACCUGAAACCAGUUUUGUAAGGACUGCCCCAAAGCUAUUAACAUUUCUCUCAAGGUUCUUGUGUGCUCUCAAUUAGAUAAGGCCAAAGAUCUCAUCAAUCACGAGCAUCUCUGAUACGAUUGAUGUAUCAAGAAGAAUGUGAAUGAGAGAAAGCAAAAGAAGACACGUGCAAGUGAGGAGGCACGUGAGAAGAAACUUGCUUGAAGAAGAAGAUAUUUUUAGGAUCUAAAAAUAUCUUGAACAAACUCAGUUCGAGUAUAAAUAAUGGCUCUGAAUGUUUAGAGAGGUUUAUGUUGUUUGUUGUUGAAUGGUAUGAGAGACUUAAGAGCAGAGCUAGUGAUGUGCUAGUCUCUCUCGUAUGGUGUAUUGAGAGCUGAGCUAGUGAUGUGCUAGUCUCUCUCGUGUUUGGUGUGUUAGUGAGUACUGGUUUGGUUAAGGAAUAAAGGUAUCGAUAUUGAAAACU
rnacentral:sRNA from 1 species